AAAUAUGCCAACUCUACUAUUAUAGUACACUCUGGGAAAAAAGACAUGUCAAUAUAAACCCCAAGUAGUUGGUACACCUCCACCCCCAACUAAAAAAUGAUGCACUAUCCCUUGUGCAUACUAAGAAAAGAAUAACACAUGGGUGUAGGGACAUAACUGAAACACUCUAGGCGUCAAAUUUGGUCUCACCCCAGCGGAGGAAUCAAGAGAUAUAUAGGGUAUAAUUUCAGGAGGUGGUGGUGUUGGUUAACUAGAAGAGGCUCCCAAUGUAUGUUGCUCGUGCUCACUCUCAUCAAUAUGGUACUAGAUAACAGACUUUGUGGUUGCCUUCUUCAGGUCCCUCACAAACUUAUCCAAACUCCCACUCUACUCGCAAGCUAUCGUCCUCUCUUGGCCUCAAUAAUCGGGGGCACAUCAUCAUCAACAAAUAGAUAAAAAAUCAAUGGUUGUGGUUUAGGCAACGAUUAUGGAAUAGAAGGUAUUACUGGAGGGAUGAAAAAAAUGUGGCUCUUUGCUUAAGUACGAACCUCUAAUCUCAAUGUGGCCACUUCCUUGCACAAACUCUAUAGAUUAGGAAUCCGAGCCUUAUAAAAUCUCUCUUCCAUCCAGAUCUUAAAAUUGUCUAUCCUCUCAUGUAUCUCUCUAGUUAAUCGCUCUAUAGCAUCCAUCAUCCUCGACUCAACCCGUGUCUCUAAUGCCUCUAAAGUUGUUUGCACCCAAGGCCAUAUUUGACAUAACAACUUUUCCAACUGGGUGUCGAUGUAUUUUUGGUGCGCUGCUAACUCCUACUGCCAAUCUACUAAUUGCUGUAAGAACUUAAGAGAGACAAUUACCAUAUCUGAAGUAGACGGACGAGGGGCGUUAUAGAAGUAGGAGCUAAAGCUGAAGUAUCUAUGGCCCCCUCACUGCCUACAUCUACUGAAGUCUAUUAACUGGAUGCCUAUCUCAAGAUCUCCACCCAACGUCGACCUCUCAACAUAGUCAGCCGACCCUAAAGGCUCCUCAAAUAGGGUUGAUCCAAAAGAGGUUCUGGUGCUGAGUUCCAGCAGCGCAAUUGACCACGAACAUCUCUAUCUAUAUCCCGAUAGUUGGGUUGGUCAAAUGACCCUACCAGUACACUAUUGUUCUUAUGUACUGAUACUACACCUACAUUUAUCUUUGUGAGUGCAACACACAUUCCAGCGGCUCUUAUGAGACCUCUUUUGUGAUUUCAAUGGCUGACUCUAAAUUUCAGGGUAAGCAGUAUAUCUUGGCUACGGUGGAAUCUUUUAUUAUUGUUAUUGUCAUAGUUCCCUAGCUCUGAAUUUAUGUUUUAUUUUAGUUUUAGGGUCUAUUCUCUUCUUGACAUGCUUAAAUGUUUGGUACAGGUGACUUUCGAGUCAUAUGGAUGGUUUUUGCAUAAGUACUUUUUCGCCUUCAAUACUUAUUAUUUGAUUUAGAUAAUUAUUUUUGCUUAUUUCUUCUAAGUGUGGAUUAUGGGAUUUUCAUGCGGGAUAGUUAGCUCUCCCACCAAAUGAGCAGUGUGGGUGCC